rnacentral:rRNA from 1 species
AUACAUGCAAGUCGAGCGGACAGAAGGGAGCUUGCUCCCGGAUGUUAGCGGCGGACGGGUGAGUAACACGUGGGUAACCUGCCUGUAAGACUGGGAUAACUCCGGGAAACCGGAGCUAAUACCGGAUAGUUCCUUGAACCGCAUGGUUCAAGGAUGAAAGACGGUUUCGGCUGUCACUUACAGAUGGACCCGCGGCGCAUUAGCUAGUUGGUGGGGUAAUGGCUCACCAAGGCGACGAUGCGUAGCCGACCUGAGAGGGUGAUCGGCCACACUGGGACUGAGACACGGCCCAGACUCCUACGGGAGGCAGCAGUAGGGAAUCUUCCGCAAUGGACGAAAGUCUGACGGAGCAACGCCGCGUGAGUGAUGAAGGUUUUCGGAUCGUAAAGCUCUGUUGUUAGGGAAGAACAAGUGCGAGAGUAACUGCUCGCACCUUGACGGUACCUAACCAGAAAGCCACGGCUAACUACGUGCCAGCAGCCGCGGUAAUACGUAGGUGGCAAGCGUUGUCCGGAAUUAUUGGGCGUAAAGGGCUCGCAGGCGGUUUCUUAAGUCUGAUGUGAAAGCCCCCGGCUCAACCGGGGAGGGUCAUUGGAAACUGGGAAACUUGAGUGCAGAAGAGGAGAGUGGAAUUCCACGUGUAGCGGUGAAAUGCGUAGAGAUGUGGAGGAACACCAGUGGCGAAGGCGACUCUCUGGUCUGUAACUGACGCUGAGGAGCGAAAGCGUGGGGAGCGAACAGGAUUAGAUACCCUGGUAGUCCACGCCGUAAACGAUGAGUGCUAAGUGUUAGGGGGUUUCCGCCCCUUAGUGCUGCAGCUAACGCAUUAAGCACUCCGCCUGGGGAGUACGGUCGCAAGACUGAAACUCAAAGGAAUUGACGGGGGCCCGCACAAGCGGUGGAGCAUGUGGUUUAAUUCGAAGCAACGCGAAGAACCUUACCAGGUCUUGACAUCCUCUGACAACCCUAGAGAUAGGGCUUUCCCUUCGGGGACAGAGUGACAGGUGGUGCAUGGUUGUCGUCAGCUCGUGUCGUGAGAUGUUGGGUUAAGUCCCGCAACGAGCGCAACCCUUGAUCUUAGUUGCCAGCAUUCAGUUGGGCACUCUAAGGUGACUGCCGGUGACAAACCGGAGGAAGGUGGGGAUGACGUCAAAUCAUCAUGCCCCUUAUGACCUGGGCUACACACGUGCUACAAUGGACA